GACGAACGCUAGCGGGAGGCCUAACACAUGCAAGCCGAGCGGUAGAGCUUUUUCGGAGACUUGAGCGCGACGCACGGGCGCGUAACACGCGUGCAACUUACCUUCAUCUGGCGGAUAGCCUUCCUCAAGGAACAGUAAUACCUCAUAAUAUAAUGCUUGGCAUCCAUUAUUAUUGAAAACUCCGGUGGGUAGAGAUGGGUACGCGCAGGAUUAGUUAGUUGGUGAGGUAACGGCUCACUAAGUAAAUGAUCUUUAGGGGUCCUGAGAGGGAGAGGCCCCACACUGGUACUGGGACAAGGACCAGACUCCUACGGGAGGCAGCAGUGAGGAAGAUUGAACAAUGGGUGAGAGCCUGAUCCAGCCAAGCCGCGUGAAGGAUGACGGUGCUAGGGAUUGUGAACUUCUUUUGGACAGGGAUAAUCCUACCCUCGGGAGGGUAGCUGAAGGUACUGGACGAAUAAGCACCGGCUAACUACGUG
rnacentral:rRNA from 1 species